AGCUAUAUGAACUAAUGUAUAGUUAUUUCUGCUCCAUGAUUAUUAAAUAGCCGCAGUACUCUGACUGUGCAAAGGUAGCAUAAUCAGUUGGCUUUUAAUUAGAGUCUGGAAUGAAUGAAAACAUGGGUAGAGACUAUCUAAGUGUAUUAAUUUGAACUUAAUAAAUAAGUGAAAAUACUUAUACUACUACAAAAGACGAGAAGACCCUAGAAACUUGAAAUGCUUUUUGUUGGGGCGACAAAAUUACAACUAACUAGUUUUUUGAGACGAGACGUAAUAAUGAAAGAAUAAGUUACUCUAGGGAUAACAGCAUAAUUUUAUUAGUUUGUGACCUCGAUGUUGGACUAGGUAUUAUAUUCUUUAGGCAAGAAUAUAAAAUGCUCUGUUCGAGCAAACACACCUACAU
rnacentral:rRNA from 1 species